rnacentral:rRNA from 1 species
UACGGGGGGAGCAAGCGUUGUUCGGAUUUACUGGGCGUAAAGGGCGCGUAGGCGGCCAGCACAAGUCAGUUGUGAAAUCUCCGGGCUUAACUCGGAAAGGUCAACUGAUACUGUGCGGCUAGAGUGCAGAAGGGGCAACUGGAAUUCCCAGUGUAGCGGUGAAAUGCGUAGAUAUUGGGAGGAACACCAGUGGCGAAGGCGGCUCACUGGACCGGUACUGACGCUGAUGCGCGAAAGCGCGGGGAGCAAACGGG